AGUCUGAUGGAGCAACGCCGCGUGAGUGAAGAAGGUCUUCGGAUCGUAAAGCUCUGUUGUUGGUGAAGAAGGAUAGAGGCAGUAACUGGUCUUUAUUUGACGGUAAUCAACCAGAAAGUCACGGCUAACUACGUGCCAGCAGCCGCGGUAAUACGUAGGUGGCAAGCGUUGUCCGGAUUUAUUGGGCGUAAAGCGAGCGCAGGCGGAAUGAUAAGUCUGAUGUGAAAGCCCACGGCUCAACCGUGGAACUGCAUCGGAAACUGUCAUUCUUGAGUGCAGAAGAGGAGAGUGGAACUCCAUGUGUAGCGGUGGAAUGCGUAGAUAUAUGGAAGAACACCAGUGGCGAAGGCGGCUCUCUGGUCUGCAACUGACGCUGAGGCUCGAAAGCAUGGGUAGCGAACAGGAUUAGAUACCCUGGUAGUCCAUGCCGUAAACGAUGAGCGCUAGGUGUUGGGGACUUUCCGGUCCUCAGUGCCGCAGCAAACGCAUUAAGCGCUCCGCCUGGGGAGUACGACCGCAAGGUUGAAACUCAAAGGAAUUGACGGGGGCCCGCACAAGCGGUGGAGCAUGUGGUUUAAUUCGAAGCAACGCGAAGAACCUUACCAGGUCUUGACAUCCUGCGCUACACCUAGAGAUAGGUGGUUCCC
rnacentral:rRNA from 1 species